ACAGGAACUCUCACAUAUCCAUUCUCUUUCAGACUCCUUUCCCAUAUGGAUUAUCAUGGACUUUUGGGUAGCAUUCUCUGUGCUAUACAUGCCUGUAUCGUUGAGCAUCCCCCAUGCCUGUAUCGUUGAGCAACUAACCUCCUUUGUACUUGAAUUUUAGGACCACAGCACCUUGGUAAAUGCUUUCCACUGUGCUUCUAAUCUCCAAGAGACCAGCUUCUCCAAAUUGCAGUAAAAGCAUCCAUGAAUGGGAGCAUUUGCGAAAUUAUUCCAGUUAACCAGAACCCUAGUUAUUUUAUUCAUCAUUGCCAAAACCUUCCAAUGUGUGUCAACUCAUCCUCUGGUCUAGAGUUUACAGCCAAUGGAAUAUACAUGGAUCUUCCUUGCAUUCUUCUCUGUUGGAUGCUGUAGAUGAUGCAGAAAUGGCAAAGUGCACCAAUAACUUAUGUUGACAUGGUUUGGGUGUUCAGCUCAACGGCAUCCCCAGCCCACCAGCUUGCAGGGGGAGUCACGUGAGUUGUGCUGGAGGAAGUGAUACAUGCAGCUCGAGGGGGACCUGGAAGGAAAUCAUCCUGUUCCUUUCAAUACACCUCCUCUUCCCUACUCUUUGCAGUUGGAUGAUACCAGAGCAAACAUGUAUUGAAGACAGAACAGACAAGCAUGAAGGAACCUGGAUCCCCUGAGUCACUGUGGGAGGUGCGCCCUCUAAUUAGGACUUGGCCUACCACUGAAAUCCGAAAUGAAGUGAAAAAGAACUGCUCUGGAACUCCCUCCUUUCUGCCAAGAAAAUCAUCUCCCAAGACGAAAGGAUGAAAGAAGAGGAAAGUCUUACUUACCAAGAAACUCUCUGGCAUUCGCUAACGAGAUGCUCAAGACAGCACAGGCGGCAUGGAGAACGCUUGGUCCUUACAGCCAGCCCAGAACUGUGUCAAAACCCCCAAGGCAAAGGAAGCCAGCAGGCUGCUGCUUCUGGGCUGAGUUGUGACCAUUCUGUGCCUGGCCACUUCUUCUUCUCUCUGCUUCAGAGGCAGAGAAGUGGCUUCUCCGAUGACGGCUGUUUCUUCCAUCCUGCAAAGUGUGGGCUUCCUCAACAUGUUCAGUCCCUGUUGAAGUGAUGCGCUGCCUCUGUGGUGGGACUUUUUUCAAGUACAAAAUGAGGUUCAUAAAAGCACUGCCGCCACUUUGGGAGGUGAUGUUCCUCACAUGAAGAAAGUUUCAGACUUAAAGUUUCAGACACUCAAAAACAACAUCUGAUUUCUCAUCCAAGAACCUUGUGAGAUGGCGGAUGUGUGAGAACAUCAUCCCCGCUGGUGAAAUGUGAAGUCGCAGGCACAGAAAGGCAAGUUGAGAACUUAAAAACCACACUAGGUGUUCGCUCCAUAAACAAUCUUGUGAUCUUUCCUUGAAUAUCCUUUGUUCAGUUAUUUAGAGAACAAAGAGUUCAGAGGAUGCUGGAGAAACAGAACCAAAGACUGUGCGGCUGAUAAUAUCUUUGGGGUUGUGAGAUUACAGGGGAUGGAGGUCCCCUCCUAAUCUAAAAGUAUUG